rnacentral:rRNA from 1 species
CAGUAGCCGCGGGAAUACGAAGGGGGCUAGCGUUGUUCGGAUUUACUGGGCGUAAAGCGCACGUAGGCGGACGCUUAAGUCAGGGGUGAAAUCCCGAGGCUCAACCUCGGAACUGCCUUUGAUACUGGGUGUCUUGAGUCCGGAAGAGGUGAGUGGAACUGCGAGUGUAGAGGUGAAAUUCGUAGAUAUUCGCAAGAACACCGGUGGCGAAGGCGGCUCACUGGUCCGGAACUGACGCUGAGGUGCGAAAGCGUGGGGAGCAAACAGGAUUAGAUACCCCCGUAGUCCCUGUCUCUUAUAC